GAUGAACGCUGGCGGCGUGCUUAACACAUGCAAGUCGAACGGGAAACCUUUUAUUGAAGCUUCGGCAGAUUUAGCUGGUUUCUAGUGGCGGACGGGUGAGUAACGCGUGGGUAACCUGCCUUAUACAGGGGGAUAACAGUCAGAAAUGGCUGCUAAUACCGCAUAAGCGCACAGAGCUGCAUGGCUCAGUGUGAAAAACUCCGGUGGUAUAAGAUGGACCCGCGUUGGAUUAGCUGGUUGGUGGGGUAACGGCCCACCAAGGCGACGAUCCAUAGCCGGCCUGAGAGGGUGAACGGCCACAUUGGGACUGAGACACGGCCCAGACUCCUACGGGAGGCAGCAGUGGGGAAUAUUGCACAAUGGGGGAAACCCUGAUGCAGCGACGCCGCGUGAAGGAAGAAGUAUCUCGGUAUGUAAACCUCUAUCAGCAGGGAAGAUAAUGACGGUACCUGACGAAGAAGCCCCGGCUAACUACGUG
rnacentral:rRNA from 1 species